rnacentral:rRNA from 1 species
CGACGUGGGUAACCUGCCUCAUACAGGGGGAUAACAGUUAGAAAUGACUGCUAAUACCGCAUAAGCGCACAGCAUUGCAUGAUGCCGUGUGAAAAACUCUGGUGGUAUGAGAUGGACCCGCGUCUGAUUAGCUAGUUGGUGAGGUAACGGCCCACCAAGGCGACGAUCAGUAGCCGACCUGAGAGGGUGACCGGCCACAUUGGGACUGAGACACGGCCCAA